CCGACGCGUGCUACACUGACGCAUACAGCGAGUACUCCCCAGCUCCGNAAGGCUGCUGGUUAUCGUCAAUAUGCGUCGUGCUGGGGAUAGAUCUUUGGAAUUAUAGAUCUUGAACGAGGAAUUCCUAGUAAGCGCAAGUCAUUAGCUUGCGUUGAUUACGU
rnacentral:rRNA from 1 species